rfam:Strongyloides papillosus strain LIN genome assembly, scaffold: SPAL_contig0002786
CCAACGGCCCUCUUUAGGGCCACCAAAUUAUUUAUGCUUUAGUUUU